ensembl:lncRNA
CCGAUUUUUCCCGGAAAAACACGACCGGCUGGAGGCGUGACGUGUGGGCGGAGCUAAAGAAUCACGAGCACCAGUAGGCUUUUGCGUUGAGAGGGUUUGGAAGCUUCGACAUUACCGUGAGGAAAAAACCAUCCAAAACAAACCGUGGCUAACAGUCAGAUUCAGCGAUCAUAUCAUACAUAUCAUAUAUUUCAACAGGGCAUCUUGCUUUAUUAAUAUUUAUUAUAAAUGCCUUAAAUAAGAACUUAACAUAAGGGCAGAUCUCUUUAGCGCACGUGAUGCUUGGGUGGUCAAGAAUUUUCCAGUGUUCAUCCUUUGCUUCCUCUGUCCUCAUUUCCUUUCCUUGCAUCCUUCCCUCGUAUCCUAAGGGGGUGGAGCUAAGACGCAAGAAGAAAGGAAACGAGGACCCACAAAUAAGAAAUAAGAAGCACUCCAGGAAUGAAAGCAGUUUUAGAGCAAAUCUGGGGAGUCGCAGUACGACAGCGUCGUGGAUCAGGUCUUUGAUGAGGUGGCCGAUGAUGGCGUUAGAGCGUCAACACUAUGAUGAUGGAGGCGAGGAUGAUGUAGAAGACGUGAAUGGGCAGAUGGAUGGCGUCUCGAGCAGGUGGGAUGUAAUUCUUGAAGAACACCUCCUCCUCACCAGAUGGGGGCAGCAGAGGAGGCUCACUCCCGGCCAUCACACUCUUAUCCAGAACACAUCCUCACGUUAACACCAAUACAAGAACAACUGACCCUAACCUGACCCUGCUCUUCAAUGAUCAAUGAGCUGAUCACAGAACAGAUUGGUUGAUUUCUCAUAAUAUCUCAAUAGUUUCCUUACACACAGUAUUUCAGUGAGCUCACAUUAUAAUGAACUUUUAUCAUGUCAAUUAUAGACUUGUAAGCUAAUACAUACGUCCAGGUGAGAGUUUGUUCACAGGCCGUGAUGAAGGUCAGAUGUCAUCCGUCCAGCGGAAUCACAGUGUUAUAUGAUCACAUUGUCGCCUUCCUCUGAAGCUCCAGCAGUGAAUGAAGAAUAAAAGAUGGAGGUGUUGAUGUACGCAUGUGAGCCGCUGUGAUUGGCUGAGACGCUCAAGGUCACAGGCUUUAUCAGCAGAUAUUAUCCAGCUUUAGCACGGCUUACAGACUGGUUAUGGUUAGGGUUAAUCAUAAACUGAGUGGGAGAAAAGGUACACAGAAUUUAACUUUAUUAAUAAUAAACCUCAUGAGUUAUAUUCUAGCAUUGUAAAACCUAAUAAAAUGGUCUAAUAACAGCAGCUCAAUUAAAACAGUACACAAUAAAAAAUAGUUAAUUGUCACCAUGAUUUAGCAUGAUGCAUUUCUUUCUUCUGAUUUUUAAGCUCUGGACAGCUUCAUGAGAUUCUGCUGCGGUGUUUUAGAGCAGAACAUCUCACAUGUUUCUGUCCUCAUUGACUCAGACAGGCUUUAGAAUAAUCUCGUAGCUCAUGAAGAUGAAUCAGACACAAGAAUCUGUUGGUUCCAUAAUGAGGAGAGGCUUUAUUUCUAUUUUUCAUUUGCAUCAUCUAUGCCUUCUUGUUUAUUUAUAUACAGUGCCAAAAUAUGAACUAUCCCAGAAUUUAUUUUAUUGGCAUCACAGAACACAGUGGUUACGUUGAUGACAUCACAGCGAUCACAUGACCACGCCCUCUUUUCAUGCUGAAAGACUGUUAUCUGCACUUUGCUUCUCUACAGCAGCUAAAAGAGCAUCUGGUCUGAUAAAAACAUGCUAAAGACAAAUUGAAAACAUAAAAGCCAGAGUAAUGACAGCUGGCAC